GCGCUCGUAGUGAAGCUGGUCUAUCACGCCUCCCUGUCACGGAGGUUAGAUCGCCGGUUCGAAUCCGGUCGGGCGCGCCA
rnacentral:tRNA from 1 species